rnacentral:rRNA from 1 species
AUUGAACGCUGGCGGCAUGCCUUACACAUGCAAGUCGAACGGCAGCACGGGGCAACCUGGUGGCGAGUGGCGAACGGGUGAGUAAUGCAUCGGAACGUGCCAUUGAGUGGGGGAUAACGUAGCGAAAGUUGCGCUAAUACCGCAUAUUCUGUGAGCAGGAAAGCAGGGGACCGCAAGGCCUUGCGCUCUUUGAGCGGCCGAUGUCAGAUUAGCUAGUUGGUGAGGUAACGGCUUACCAAGGCGACGAUCUGUAGCGGGUCUGAGAGGAUGAUCCGCCACACUGGAACUGAGACACGGUCCAGACUCCUACGGGAGGCAGCAGUGGGGAAUUUUGGACAAUGGGCGCAAGCCUGAUCCAGCCAUGCCGCGUGAGUGAAGAAGGCCUCG